CUGGGGCCUAGUGUCUGCGUGGUGAAGCCACCUACUCUGGUGGCCACAUUCUCCUUUUAUUAUUUUCUUCUCUUUUAUAUGAUAGGACAGAGAGAAACUGGCAGGGGAGAUAAGGAGAGAGACAGAGAGAUUCCUGCAGCACUGUUUCACUGCUCCUGAAGCUUCAGGUCUUGCAGACCUGGGGCCUUGUGACAGCAGGAUCUCACUGCUCAAGAGCUGGCUUUUUCAUCAAGACGGACUGGAGGAGAGAGGUUCUCCCAGUGCUGUGGCACUCCACCGUGGUGCUGGGGUCUGAACCUGGGCCGUGUGCGUCACAAGGCUUGUGCUCUACCUGCCUUCACAGUGACAAGCCAGAUGCCCGGCUCAGCUUAGUGUGAACAGACGCCUCAGUGUAAAUGCUGCUGAGCCAAACCUGAUUUACGACCACAUAACCAGACUCUCGACCCACCCAUCAGUGGCCAUUAGCCUUCCUGAGACGACAUGGCAUUUCUCAAGUUCUAAGAUGGUGGCUCAGGGUGAAGGCCUUGAAUAAAUCACAGUGAGAGCAGUCGUGUCCCAGCUGGAGAGCUGGGAGAAGCCACCCUGGAAGGGCUGGAGCCAUGUAAGGCUUGCUCUGUGUCACAGAGAGCAGCAGACCGCAAGCAUAAAGGACACACCUGGAUGUCUUCAGCCAAGGCCCUGUGCACGGGAGCAGUGCUGCAGUGACAGCCACCCUGCUGACAUGUUUGUCACCCCUGUCCUGGAAGCUUGUGUUCAGGAGGUGGUAGGCACCCGCCCAGCUGCCUGGAGCUAUGAGCACCGCGGAUUUCAAAAGGGAAAAGAUGGUUCUAAUUAAAGCAUCUCUAA